AUGUGGUUGCUGCUGCUACCGCUUUGUCGAGGUCAAGGGUCAAUAAAACUCGGCUUCCAGUGUUCCUUCUGCGGUGUGGAGGAGAUCCCCAAACCAAAACCCUGGCUCCUCUCUCUGCUUGGCACCGCCUACACCAGUGACUUCGACAGUCAAUCCUCAGCGCCUGUCGCGACAAAGCUCUGGAAGGAGUGUGAUUGUGCUAGCAGAGUAAAAUACUGGAAUCGCUCUGACUGCUCCUGGACUUCCAAGGUGAUGCUGGGAGAUUCGUUCUGCCACUUUGCCUAUACUCCGCCUGAUCACCGUUCAUCCAGAGAAAAGGAGAGGAAGGGGAUGGAUGAGCAAGGACCAGAAGGACCAGAAGAAGAAGGGCAAGGGAGAUGGGGCGAUGUGCGUGUCCAUGGAGGUAGUUGA
rnacentral:rRNA from 1 species